AUAAACAAGGUAUUGUAUAUUACCUAGACAAAAGUAUUUCUACUGGGAGGCAUAUUUUUUUUUACUUUGCUUACAUUUGGGUGAAAUUCAGUGUAACAAAAAUAUUUCUUCUAUACUUCAAACUUAAUUAAACAAGGGUAAUAAAAUAAAGAAGGGUAAAAGAAUAUCCACAAGAAAAUAUAGAUUUAAUUUAUCAUAUGAAACUAAAACUUCUAACAACUAAUAAUGAUAUCUUAACAUGUAUUGACACAUGUGUGUCGUUAAUUAGGCUAGUUAAGUUUCAAAACUGGCUAAGAAAAUAUACCAAAAUAUGAAUGAAUAAUAUACCUGUACAUGUAGAGACAGAAUGAGUUCUAGAAAAUCUGCACAAGUUUAAUAAACUACUGAGCCCCGAAGCAAUGGAACCAACCAAAGUGCAUAAAAGACAAGACAUGUACAAUCUAACCCAAACCAUUGAACUUUUAAAACCUAGCCUCUCUGGUCCUGUCCAGCCCGCCUACUUUGUCUAUUAUGAACCUGUCCUAAAUAUCGUCACUCCAAGAACCAAUUAGCAGACACCUUGACUAAGUUUCUUGCUAGCACGUAGUAUUUCGAUGUGAGAGACGGGGCUAGACUUAGUGGAGUGAAAAUGAAUGCACAACACGCUUAAUAAGCUGAUUGUUGUAUUUAUCGUUUUCAUUUUAGUAUCUCAAAACCAUACAUUUGGAUUUAGAGUCAUAGUUGUUUGUAGUCUGGAUGUCAUUUAGACGUCAAGAAGUUAGAGUUUAUUUCAGAGUCUAAAUUCAAUUCAUUUUUGUAAACCGAGUUCGUUUGGGCCAAAUAAUGUUUAGUGAUCUACAUGAGGGGUAUGGAGUUAGUUACAUAUGGUAUUGAUCGGGACUAGUGAAGGUUUUUUAAAUGAAAGGUUAUACUCUCAACAUCUACAUCCUAGGAUUCACAUGACAUUCAUUUUGUUAAAUAAGGGCAAGACCACGACGCCAAAACACCUUAUAAACACAUUACACGAGAUGUUAUGAAAAUGUCAAUCCAUUAUAGGAUGCAUCACAAAAAAACUAAAACUAAGUUGUCUCGCUCCACAAGAAAACACCUUCAAGAAAGGAGUUUCACUUUAGGUGCAAGGUCCAAAAAAUCAAGGCUAGAGCAUUAGCAUGAACACAACACCUUCAACAAGGAGAUGACGCUUGUUAGUCGUUGCCAGGUCCAAGCAGGAAAGGACGGAUCAUAGGUUUUACCUUGGAUAUGGAUUGGCAUUCCGGUCACCGUCUUGAUGGUAGAUUUUCCAAGGUUGAUCCAAACACUACUUUGGGCUCAUUGAGGAAAUCGGGUCUCAUGGGCGCUCCUUUAGGUAUUAAUUGAGAAGUACCACAUAUUUUAGAGAUGUUAUUGGCGGACUAGGAGCACCACAAUGGUGUUAGUGGUGUAUUGAAUGUUGGGAAAGUCUCCAUGUCGAGAUGACGGGAUGGGCAAAUGGAGUAUCCAUCUUGACAUGCUAAUUUUAUGGGAGAUUGAAGAGGAUUGCCGCUAGCACAAAGAGAAGUGGUGAUAUUGGAACACCUUGUUGCACAACUCAAUUUUGGAGGAAGGGAUAGUGAAGGGCUUAAUUGAGGAGAAAUUAGGUUAGAAAUGGAGGUGUGCCAUUAGUACAUAAAUAUACACAUUAUUGUGGUUGCAGUGCAGUAGUUACAUAUGUGCAGUUGCUCAUUCCUAGUAUAUGUAUAGAAAUGAUGUGUCGUAAACUAAACUUGAUACAUAUAUAUGAUCUAUCAAAUGAG
rnacentral:lncRNA from 1 species